UACGGAGGGGGCUAGCGUUGUUCGGAAUUACUGGGCGUAAAGCGUACGUAGGCGGCUAUUCAAGUCAGGGGUGAAAGCCUGGGGCUCAACCUCAGAAUUGCCCUUGAAACUAGAUAGCUUGAACACGGGAGAGGUGAGUGGAAUUCCGAGUGUAGAGGUGAAAUUCGUAGAUAUUCGGAAGAACACCAGUGGCGAAGGCGGCUCACUGGACCGUUGUUGACGCUGAGGUACGAAAGCGUGGGGAGCAAACAGG
rnacentral:rRNA from 1 species